GUUGAUCUUCUCUUCAUGCAUAGUUCAACCGGAAAAUGUCAUUCAACACAUAAAAGCUCCCUUGUGGUGUUGGAAUCAAAUGGAACAUCUGAGAAGCAUGACAAUGAAAUUGUUAGGAAAAUAAUCACCUCGUUUAAAGUCCCAGAAAAGCAGAUGAAUAAUAACUAUUUAUAAAAAUAAAUAGAAGGUUAAAAAAAUAUAAAUGCCAGAGAAGUCCCAGCAAAGCAGACUAGUUUCUAGAUAAAUGGUAAAAUAUUAAAACAUUGAUCAUGCAAAAUCACCAUUAAAACCCAAUCAUCUUUUCAAAAAAGUAGAUUUAAUACUAUUAAACCAUAAUAUUUCUCGCAAUACAGGACAUUUCAUCAUUUAAACAUGAUGCAAUUCUUUUGGUUUAUUUUAUCAAAAUCAUUGAUUCAUUUCAUUUUCACUUUUACAACAGUUGCAUUGCGCAGCAACAUGGAAUGCCAGAAACAAUCUUUUGUACUGCCAAACAAAUUUCAAGCAACAUUUGAGAACAAAAAUCCUUCCGUAAAAGUUAUCCUUACCGUUCCAGGAAACACAGCAAAUGCAUCAAACGGCGUUACAGAAUUACUUAAUUAAGGUUGCAUUGGUAAAUUUAUGUCAUCUUUAACUGAUGCCGCAAGCUUGGACUCGAGUAAAAUGCAUACCAGAUUCUGAAAGAUUUUAUUUCACCAACAAUUAAUUAAACUCUAUAAAUUACCAAACUUUAUCAGAGUACUGAGAACUGCCAAGAUCCAAUAUCCUAGAUCUAUUAAAAGAGAAAAAAAAAAAAAAAGAGCUAUUUGAGCGAACACAACGUUAUUUCAAUAGAAAUAUUAAAAGGACAUAAAGACACCAAAUUCACAAAUUCAAAUUCAACUUCAACGAGAUCCAUAUUUCCACAUCCAAAACCCUCCACGAGCAGGCAUCAAUAAGCAAUCAUGAUUCUAUGAUCGAUUAAAAACAGAUCAAUCCAAAACACAACUCGAAUCCUCAAAAACCCUACAAACUCCACCAACAUCAAAUCAAAUAAAAUCCAAUACAUAUAUCUAUUUAUUAAUCUCUCUACCUGACUAAACUUGAGGGCAUGUUGUUCACCAGUGAGCUGAAGGUUACCAGAAACAAAGACAAGCAUACCACCGGCAGGGCCUGAUGGCUGGCAGUCGACGGUGGUGAUGCUGUGCUGGCACUGCUGGAAAGGAAGGCUAAUGAGCUUGGAGACGAUAUUUUGGGAGCCCUGGAUCUUCUGACCCUCGAAGGUGAGCAUGGAUCCCUCCUGAUAGAGGUUAGCUAAUCCGGCCCGGUUCGCAUCGAAAGUGGUAUAGUAGUGCUCAACAAAUGCCUUAGCCACGGAGUCUGGUUCCAUCUAGAAUUCGGAUUCUGAGAAUUUGAUUUUGCCCUUUUAAUCCCUCGUUUGGCUGCUCUCCCUUGGCUUCGCCGCUUGCAAGUUACGCUACCUUGGCGUAGAGAGA
rnacentral:lncRNA from 1 species